rnacentral:rRNA from 1 species
AGGGUUUGAUCAUGGCUCAGAACGUACGCUGGCGGCACGCCUAACACAUGCAAGUCGAACGCAGUAGCAAUACUGAGUGGCAAACGGGUGAGUAUAAUGUGGGAAUCUGCCUUUUGGUUUGGAAUAACACGGGGAAACUUGUGCUAAUACCUCAUAAGUCUUUACGGAGAAAGCUUUAUGCGCCGAUGGAUGAGCCUGCACUUGAUUAGUUUGUUGGUAGGGUAAUGGCCUACCAAGACAAUGAUCAAUAGCUGAUUUGAGAGGAUGAUCAGCCACAUUGGGACUGAGACACGGCCCAAACUCCUACGGGAGGCAGCAGUAGGGAAUCUUGCACAAUGGGGGAAACCCUGAUGCAGCGAUGCCGCGUGAGUGAAGAAGGCCUUUGGGUUGUAAAGCUCUUUCGUCGGGGAAGAAAAUGACUGUACCCGAAUAAGAAGGUCCGGCUAACUUCGUGCCAGCAGCCGCGGUAAUACGAAGGGACCUAGCGUAGUUCGGAAUUACUGGGCUUAAAGAGUUCGUAGGUGGUUAAAAAAGUUGGUGGUGAAAUCCCAGAGCUUAACUCUGGAACUGCCAUCAAAACUUUUUAGCUAGAGUAUGAUAGAGGAAAGCAGAAUUUCUAGUGUAGAGGUGAAAUUCGUAGAUAUUAGAAAGAAUACCAAUUGCGAAGGCAGCUUUCUGGAUCAUUACUGACACUGAGGAACGAAAGCAUGGGUAGCGAAGAGGAUUAGAUACCCUCGUAGUCCAUGCCGUAAACGAUGUGUGUUAGACGUUGGAAAUUUAUUUUCUGUGUCGCAGCGAAAGCAAUAAACACACCGCCUGGGGAGUACGACCGCAAGGUUAAAACUCAAUGAAUUGACGGGGACCCGCACAAGUAGUGGAGCAUGUGGUUUAAUUCGAAGAUACGCGCAGAACCUUACCAACACUUGACAUGUUCGUCGCGACUUUAAGAGAUUAAAGUUUUCGGUUCGGCCGGACGAAACACAGGUGCUGCAUGGCUGUCGUCAGCUCGUGUCGUGAGAUGUUGGGUUAAGUCCCGCAACGAGCGCAACCCUCACUUUUAGUUGCCAUCAUUUAGUUGGGCACUCUGAAAGAACUGCCAGUGAUAAGCUGGAGGAAGGUGGGGAUGACGUCAAGUCCUCAUGGCCCUUACGUGUUGGGCUACACACGUGCUACAAUGGCAUUUACAAUAGGAAGCAAGACGGCGACGUUAAGCAAAUCCUAAAAAAAUGCCUCAGUUCGGAUUGUACUCUGCAACUCGAGUACAUGAAGCUGGAAUUACUAGUAAUCGCGGAUCAGCGCGCCGCGGUGAAUACGUUCCCGGGUCUUGUACACACCGCCCGUCACACCAUGGGAGUUGGUUCUACCUUAAGGCAAAGUUUAAUACCUUUGACCACGGUAUAGUCAGCGACUGGGGUGAAGUCGUAACAAGGUAACCGUA